GCCCUAGCACAGGUGCUGCAUGCCGUCGUCAGCUCGUGUCGUGAGAUGUUGGGUUAAGUCCCGCAACGAGCGCAACCCUUGUCUCUAGUUACCAUCAUUUGGUUGGGGACUCUAGAGAUACUGCCAAGGUUAACUUGGAGAAGUGGGGAUGACGUCAAGUCCUCAUGGCCUUUAUGUCCAGGGCUACACACGUGCUACAAUGGACGGUACAGAGGGUCGCAAUAUCGCGAGAUGGAGCCAAUCCCAAAAAGCCGUUCCCAGUUCGGAUUGGAGUCUGCAACUCGACUCCAUGAAGCCGGAAUCGCUAGUAAUCGUGGAUCAGCAUGCCACGGUGAAUACGUUCCCGGGCCUU
rnacentral:rRNA from 1 species